rnacentral:rRNA from 1 species
GGAAGACCAAGGGUUCCUGUCCAACGUUAAUCGGGGCAGGGUGAGUCGACCCCUAAGGCGAGGCCGAAAGGCGUAGUCGAUGGGAAACGGGUUAAUAUUCCCGUACUUGGUGUUACUGCGAAGGGGGGACGGAGAAGGCUAUGUUGGCCGGGCGACGGUUGUCCCGGUUUAAGCGUGUAGGUGUGUGUUCCAGGUAAAUCCGGUUCACUUUAACACUGAGGCGUGAUGACGAGGCACUACGGUGCUGAAGCAACAAAUGCCCUGCUUCCAGGAAAAGCCUCUAAGCAUCAGGUAACAUCAAAUCGUACCCCAAACCGACACAGGUGGUCAGGUAGAGAAUACCAAGGCGCUUGAGAGAACUCGGGUGAAGGAACUAGGCAAAAUGGUGCCGUAACUUCGGGAGAAGGCACGCUGACACGUAGGUGAAGUGAUUUACUCAUGGAGCUGAAGUCAGUCGAAGAUACCAGCUGGCUGCAACUGUUUAUUAAAAACACAGCACUGUGCAAACACGAAAGUGGACGUAUACGGUGUGACGCCUGCCCGGUGCCGGAAGGUUAAUUGAUGGGGUCAGCGCAAGCGAAGCUCCUGAUCGAAGCCCCGGUAAACGGCGGCCGUAACUAUAACGGUCCUAAGGUAGCGAAAUUCCUUGUCGGGUAAGUUCCGACCUGCACGAAUGGCGUAAUGAUGGCCAGGCUGUCUCCACCCGAGACUCAGUGAAAUUGAACUCGCUGUGAAGAUGCAGUGUACCCGCGGCAAGACGGAAAGACCCCGUGAACCUUUACUAUAGCUUGACACUGAACAUUGAGCCUUGAUGUGUAGGAUAGGUGGGAGGCUUUGAAGUGUGGACGCCAGUCUGCAUGGAGCCGACCUUGAAAUACCACCCUUUAAUGUUUGAUGUUCUAACGUGGACCCGUAAUCCGGGUUGCGGACAGUGUCUGGUGGGUAGUUUGACUGGGGCGGUCUCCUCCUAAAGAGUAACGGAGGAGCACGAAGGUUGGCUAAUCCUGGUCGGACAUCAGGAGGUUAGUGCAAUGGCAUAAGCCAGCUUGACUGCGAGCGUGACGGCGCGAGCAGGUGCGAAAGCAGGUCAUAGUGAUCCGGUGGUUCUGAAUGGAAGGGCCAUCGCUCAACGGAUAAAAGGUACUCCGGGGAUAACAGGCUGAUACCGCCCAAGAGUUCAUAUCGACGGCGGUGUUUGGCACCUCGAUGUCGGCUCAUCACAUCCUGGGGCUGAAGUAGGUCCCAAGGGUAUGGCUGUUCGCCAUUUAAAGUGGUACGCGAGCUGGGUUUAGAACGUCGUGAGACAGUUCGGUCCCUAUCUGCCGUGGGCGCUGGAGAACUGAGGGGGGCUGCUCCUAGUACGAGAGGACCGGAGUGGACGCAUCACUGGUGUUCGGGUUGUCAUGCCAAUGGCACUGCCCGGUAGCUAAAUGCGGAAGAGAUAAGUGCUGAAAGCAUCUAAGCACGAAACUUGCCCCGAGAUGAGUUCUCCCUGAGACUUAGAGUCUCCUGAAGGAACGUUGAAGACGACGACGUUGAUAGGCCGGGUGUGUAAGCGCAGCGAUGCGUUGAGCUAACCGGUACUAAUGAACCGUGAGGCUUAACCUU